GGGAAACUGCCUGAUGGAGGGGGAUAACUACUGGAAACGGUAGCUAAUACCGCAUAACGUCGCAAGACCAAAGAGGGGGACCUUCGGGCCUCUUGCCAUCAGAUGUGCCCAGAUGGGAUUAGCUAGUAGGUGGGGUAACGGCUCACCUAGGCGACGAUCCCUAGCUGGUCUGAGAGGAUGACCAGCCACACUGGAACUGAGACACGGUCCAGACUCCUACGGGAGGCAGCAGUGGGGAAUAUUGCACAAUGGGCGCAAGCCUGAUGCAGCCAUGCCGCGUGUAUGAAGAAGGCCUUCGGGUUGUAAAGUACUUUCAGCGAGGAGGAAGGUGCUGAGGUUAAUAACCUCAGCAAUUGACGUUACUCGCAGAAGAAGCACCGGCUAACUCCGUGCCAGCAGCCGCGGUAAUACGGAGGGUGCAAGCGUUAAUCGGAAUUACUGGGCGUAAAGCGCACGCAGGCGGUCUGUCAAGUCGGAUGUGAAAUCCCCGGGCUCAACCUGGGAACUGCAUUCGAAACUGGCAGGCUAGAGUCUUGUAGAGGGGGGUAGAAUUCCAGGUGUAGCGGUGAAAUGCGUAGAGAUCUGGAGGAAUACCGGUGGCGAAGGCGGCCCCCUGG
rnacentral:rRNA from 1 species